GGAUUGUGGCUCAGUGGUAGAGCGCUUGCCUCACACGUGUGAGGCACUGGGUUCAAUCCUCAGCACCA
rnacentral:tRNA from 1 species